GAGUCCGUAGCUCAGCUGGAUAGAGCAUUUGACUACGAAUCAAAAGGCCGCAGGUUCGAAUCCUGCCGGGCUCGCCA
rnacentral:tRNA from 1 species